rnacentral:rRNA from 1 species
GACGAACGCUGGCGGCGUGCUUAACACAUGCAAGUCGAACGGAAAGGCCCUGCUUUUGUGGGGUGCUCGAGUGGCGAACGGGUGAGUAACACGUGAGUAUCCUGCCCUUGACUUUGGGAUAACUUCAGGAAACUGGGGCUAAUACCUGAUAGGAGCUCCUGCUGCAUGGUGGUGGUUGGAAAGCUUCGGCGGUUGGGGAUGGACUCGCGGCUUAUCAGCUUGUUGGUGGGGUAGUGGCUUACCAAGGCUUUGACGGGUAGCCGGCCUGAGAGGGUGACCGGCGACAUUGGGACUGAGAUACGGACCAGACUCCUACGGGAGGCAGCAGUGGGGAAUAUUGCACAAUGGGCGGAAGCCUGAUGCAGAAACGCCGCGUGCGGGAUGACGGCCUUCGGGUUGUAAACCGCUUUCGCCUGUGACGAAGCGUGAGUGACGGUAAUGGGUAAAGAAGCACCGGCUAACUACGUG